AGAGUUUGAUCAUGGCUCAGGACGAACGCUGGCGGCGUGCUUAACACAUGCAAGUGGUGCGACGAACCAGGGCUUGCCCUGGGGCAAAGCCGCGAACGGGUGAGUAACACGUGAGUAACCUGCCCCGAUGACCGGGACAACCCGAGGAAACUCGGGCUAAUACCGGAUGUGGUACACGGACUUAAGCCUGUGUACUAAAGGAAGCUUCGGCCUCCGCAUUGGGAGGGGCUCGCGGCCCAUUAGCUUGUUGGUGGGGUAACGGCCUACCAAGGCAACGAUGGGUAGCUGGUCUGAGAGGACGAUCAGCCACACUGGGACUGAGACACGGCCCAGACUCCUACGGGAGGCAGCAGUGGGGAAUCUUGCGCAAUGCGCGAAAGCGUGACGCAGCAACGCCGCGUGGGGGAAGACGGCCUUCGGGUUGUAAACCCCUUUCAGGAGGGACGAAGGUUCGCCGGUGAAUAGCCGUGUGGAUUGACGGUACCUCCAGAAGAAGCUCCGGCUAACUACGUGCCAGCAGCCGCGGUAAUAC
rnacentral:rRNA from 1 species